GGGGAAAUACUCAAGCGGUCAACGAGGACAGACUGUAAAUCUGUUGGCCACGCCUUCGUAGGUUCGAAUCCUGCUUUCCCCA
rnacentral:tRNA from 2 species